UGCUCUGAUACAUAGCUCAGUUCGCAAAGCAUGAGACUCUUAAUCUCAGGGUUGUGGGUUUGAGCCCCACAUAAGCAA